GACGAACGCUGGCGGCGUGCUUAACACAUGCAAGUCGAACGGAAAGGCCCUGCUUUUGUGGGGUGCUCGAGUGGCGAACGGGUGAGUAACACGUGAAUAACCUGCCCUUGACUUUGGGAUAACUUCAGGAAACUGGGGCUAAUACCGGAUAGGAGCUCCUGCUGCAUGGUGGGGGUUGGAAAGUUUCGGCGGUCGGGGAUGGACGCGCGGCUUAUCAGCUUGUUGGUGGGGUAGUGGCUUACCAAGGCUUUGACGGGUAGCCGGCCUGAGAGGGUGACCGGGGACCAGGGGACUGAGGUACGGACCAGACGCGAACGGGAGGCAACAGGGGGGAGUCUUGUCCAAUCAGCGGGAGUGGGAGGAGGAAGCCCCGGGUGCGGGAAGCCGGCUUGUUGGUUGAGAAACGCUUCCGCUUGAGACGCAGCGUGAGUGACGGUAAUGGGUAAAGAAGCACCGGCUAACUACGUG
rnacentral:rRNA from 1 species